rnacentral:rRNA from 1 species
UACAGAGGUCUCAAGCGUUGUUCGGAUUCAUUGGGCGUAAAGGGUGUGUAGGUGGCGCGCUAAGUCGGGUGUGAAAUCUUGGAGCUUAACUCCGAAACUGCAUUCGAUACUGGCGUGCUUGAGGACUGGAGAGGAGACUGGAAUUCAUGGUGUAGCAGUGAAAUGCGUAGAGAUCAUGAGGAAGACCAGUGGCGAAGGCGGGUCUCUGGACAGUUCCUGACACUGAGACACGAAAGCCAGGGGAGCAAACGGG